rnacentral:rRNA from 1 species
GACGAACGCUGGCGGCGUGCCUAAUACAUGCAAGUUGAGCGCUGAAGGUUGGUACUUGUACCAACUGGAUGAGCAGCGAACGGGUGAGUAACGCGUGGGGAAUCUGCCUUUGAGCGGGGGACAACAUUUGGAAACGAAUGCUAAUACCGCAUAAAAACUUUAAACACAAGUUUUAAGUUUGAAAGAUGCAAUUGCAUCACUCAAAGAUGAUCCCGCGUUGUAUUGGCUAGUUGGUGAGGUAAAGGCUCACCAAGGCGAUGAUACAUAGCCGACCUGAGAGGGUGAUCGGCCACAAUGGGAAUGAGACACGGCCCAAACUCCUACGGGAGGCAGCAGUAGGGAAUCUUCGGCAAUGGACGAAAGUCUGACCGAGCAACGCCGCGUGAGUGAAGAAGGUUUUCGGAUCGUAAAACUCUGUUGGUAGAGAAGAACGUUGGUGAGAGUGGAAAGCUCAUCAAGUGACGGUAACUACCCAGAAAGGGACGGCUAACUACGUG